rnacentral:rRNA from 1 species
ACUCCUACGGGAGGCAGCAGUGGGGAAUAUUGGUUAACAUAGGGGCACCCUGAUCCAGCAAUGCCGCGUGAGUGAUGAAGGCCUUAGGGUUGUAAAGCUCUUUUACCCGGGAAGAUAAUGACUGUACCGGGAGAAUAAGCCCCGGCUAACUCCGUGCCAGCAGCCGCGGUAAUAAUGGAGGGGGCUAGCGUUGUUCGGAAUUACUGGGCGUAAAGCGCACGUA